rnacentral:rRNA from 1 species
GAUGAACGCUAGCUACAGGCUUAACACAUGCAAGUCGAGGGGCAGCACAGUGUAGCAAUACAUGGGUGGCGACCGGCGCACGGGUGCGUAACGCGUAUCCAACCUUCCCGUUACUCUUGGAUAGCCUUCCGAAAGGGAGAUUAAUACAAGAUGGUAUUCAAAUUCCGCAUGUUAUUUGAAUUAAAGAUUUAUCGGUAACGGAUGGGGAUGCGUGACAUUAGAUAGUAGGUGGGGUAACGGCCCACCAUGGCGACGAUCAGUAGCCGGUCUGAGAGGAUGAACGGCCACAUUGGGACUGAGAUACGGCCCAGACUCCUACGGAGGCAGCAGUGGGGAAUAUUGGGCAAUGGGCGAAAGCCUGACCCAGCAACGCCGCGUGAAGGAAGAAGGGCCUUCGGGUUGUAAACUUCUUUAGUCAGGACGAAGAACGUGACGGUACCUGCAGAAAAAGACAACGGCUAACUACGUG